UACGUAGGGGGCGAGCGUUGUCCGGAUUUAUUGGGCGUAAAGAGCGUGUAGGCGGCCAGGUAGGUCCGUUGUGAAAACUCGAGGCUCAACCUCGAGACGUCGAUGGAAACCAUCUGGCUAGAGUCCGGAAGAGGAGAGUGGAAUUCCUGGUGUAGCGGUGAAAUGCGCAGAUAUCAGGAAGAACACCUAUGGCGAAGGCGGCUCUCUGGGACGGUACUGACGCUGAGACGCGAAAGCGUGGGGAGCGAACAGG
rnacentral:rRNA from 1 species